UGGGAGAUGUUCAUACGUGGCGUGCUGAAUUUCUUGAACGACUUGUGGUAUUUGUGGGAGAUUUUCAUAGGUGGCGUGCUGAAUUUCUUGAGCGACUUGUAGUAUUUGUGCGAGAUGUUCAUAGGUGGCGUGCAGAAUUUCUUGACCGACAUGUAGUAUUUGUGCGAGAUGGUCAUAGGUGGCAUGCUGAAUUUCUUGAGCGACUUGUAGUAUUGGAAGAUGUUCAUAGGUGGCGUGCUGAAUUUCUUGAGCGACUUGUAGUAUUUGUGGGAGAUGUUUAUAGGUGGC